rnacentral:lncRNA from 1 species
GACAGUCACCAAUUUGGCCGAAUAGUUCCUUCUCCAGUGAUCUUUGAUAUUGCAAUAAAAAUACUUUCUCUUGUCAUCGGACUUCUUUGGGCUUGGCCUCGUUCUUUUGCUUCUUUGUAGGCUUUUUCUUCUUCUUGAAAGAAGAUUUUCUCUUCGAGGAAGUCCGCUCCACAGUCAGAACUGUAUCCCUUGAACUCUUCAAGGUGCCUUCUGUUGUUACCAGUAUGU